AACCUGAUGGCCUAGUGGUAAUGGCGAUAGACUUUUACUACAUGGGUCAGUGGUUUGAAUCCAGUUGACGGUUA
rnacentral:tRNA from 1 species